rnacentral:rRNA from 1 species
GAUGAACGCUGGCGGCGUGCCUAAUACAUGCAAGUCGAGCGAACAGACGAGGAGCUUGCUCCUCUGACGUUAGCGGCGGACGGGUGAGUAACACGUGGAUAACCUACCUAUAAGACUGGGAUAACUUCGGGAAACCGGAGCUAAUACCGGAUAAUAUAUUGAACCGCAUGGUUCAAUAGUGAAAGACGGUUUUGCUGUCACUUAUAGAUGGAUCGGCGCCGCAUUAGCUAGUUGGUAAGGUAACGGCUUACCAGGGGGACGAUGCGUAGCCGACCUGAGAGGGUGAUCGCCCACCCGGGAGCUGAGACACGGUCAGGACUCCUACGGGAGGCAGCAGUAGGGAAGCUUCCGCAAUGGGCGAAAGCCUGACGGAGCAACGCCGCGUGAGUGAUGAAGGUCUUCGGAUCGUAAAACUCUGUUAUUAGGGAAGAACAAAUGUGUAAGUAACUAUGCACGUCUUGACGGUACCUAAUCAGAAAGCCACGGCUAACUACGUG